AGAGUUUGAUCCUGGCUCAGGAUGAACGCUGGCGGCGUGCCUAAUACAUGCAAGUCGAGCGAACGGACGAGAAGCUUGCUUCUCUGAUGUUAGCGGCGGACGGGUGAGUAACACGUGGAUAACCUACCUAUAAGACUGGGAUAACUUCGGGAAACCGGAGCUAAUACCGGAUAAUAUUUUGAACCGCAUGGUUCAAAAGUGAAAGACGGUCUUGCUGUCACUUAUAGAUGGAUCCGCGCUGCAUUAGCUAGUUGGUAAGGUAACGGCUUACCAAGGCAACGAUGCAUAGCCGACCUGAGAGGGUGAUCGGCCACACUGGAACUGAGACACGGUCCAGACUCCUACGGGAGGCAGCAGUAGGGAAUCUUCCGCAAUGGGCGAAAGCCUGACGGAGCAACGCCGCGUGAGUGAUGAAGGUCUUCGGAUCGUAAAACUCUGUUAUUAGGGAAGAACAUAUGUGUAAGUAACUGUGCACAUCUUGACGGUACCUAAUCAGAAAGCCACGGCUAACUACGUGCCAGCAGCCGCGGUAAUACGUAGGUGGCAAGCGUUAUCCGGAAUUAUUGGGCGUAAAGCGCGCGUAGGCGGUUUUUUAAGUCUGAUGUGAAAGCCCACGGCUCAACCGUGGAGGGUCAUUGGAAACUGGAAAACUUGAGUGCAGAAGAGGAAAGUGGAAUUCCAUGUGUAGCGGUGAAAUGCGCAGAGAUAUGGAGGAACACCAGUGGCGAAGGCGACUUUCUGGUCUGUAACUGACGCUGAUGUGCGAAAGCGUGGGGAUCAAACAGGAUUAGAUACCCUGGUAGUCCACGCCGUAAACGAUGAGUGCUAAGUGUUAGGGGGUUUCCGCCCCUUAGUGCUGCAGCUAACGCAUUAAGCACUCCGCCUGGGGAGUACGACCGCAAGGUUGAAACUCAAAGGAAUUGACGGGGACACGCACAAGCGGUGGAGCAUGUGGUUUAAUUCGAAGCAACGCGAAGAACCUUACCAAAUCUUGACAUCCUUUGACAACUCUAGAGAUAGAGCCUUCCCCUUCGGGGGACAAAGUGACAGGUGGUGCAUGGUUGUCGUCAGCUCGUGUCGUGAGAUGUUGGGUUAAGUCCCGCAACGAGCGCAACCCUUAAGCUUAGUUGCCAUCAUUAAGUUGGGCACUCUAAGUUGACUGCCGGUGACAAACCGGAGGAAGGUGGGGAUGACGUCAAAUCAUCAUGCCCCUUAUGAUUUGGGCUACACACGUGCUACAAUGGACAAUACAAAGGGCAGCGAAACCGCGAGGUCAAGCAAAUCCCAUAAAGUUGUUCUCAGUUCGGAUUGUAGUCUGCAACUCGACUACAUGAAGCUGGAAUCGCUAGUAAUCGUAGAUCAGCAUGCUACGGUGAAUACGUUCCCGGGUCUUGUACACACCGCCCGUCACACCACGAGAGUUUGUAACACCCGAAGCCGGUGGAGUAACCUUUUAGGAGCUAGCCGUCGAAGGUGGGACAAAUGAUUGGGGUGAAGUCGUAACAAGGUAGCCGUAUCGGAAGGUGCGGCUGGAUCACCU
rnacentral:rRNA from 2 species